UAGCAUUCAGGAGCGAUAUGUUUGCAUUUACCUAGAGAUUUCAAAGCCAUUGAGUGUAAGAAAUGUGCGACGACAUUCAGGAAUCACUGCAUACUGAAGUAAUAAAGAGUAAACAAAAAUAGUUUUUUUUCAUCUAAAGAGAAUUCUAACAAGGUAGGAUAAAAUACUUAGCUGUUUAUCUGAAUCAGUAACACAGUUUACCUCAUUGACUAGGUUGUAGAUCUCUGCACUAACAUCUGACAGGACAGGUUUUGCGGAGAGCAAUUCAUCACAAGGUAAGAUUGAGCUCAGGCUGUUAUUGUAGGGAUUUUGCUGAAAAUGUUCCAGAGCAGUACAUGUAUCCCUUGAAAACCUGGAACAAUAGAAGCUAGUAAACAAUGUGUAGUUUGACUUUCAUACUUUUUCAGAUCUCGACCAAGAAAGCUUUUGAGAAAACAUGAAUGAAGAGGAAGGACUUGGCUUUACUUUUCUAAGAAGAAGUACAUCCCGAAGAACAGCCAGCACAAAAUUGUCAAGAACCAGCAGGUAAUAAUAAAUCUGUAAACAAAAAAGAAACAUGUUCCCUUUAGAUUUUUCUCUUCCAAGUGCUGGUAGCCUAACAGGUCCGAUGUAUAACUAGUGAUUUUCCUACUAAUGGUUCAGUUACUUACGCAUGAAGUGGCUUUUGCAACCUCAAAAUCCCACAAACUGAAAUAAAAAAAGUUACAGUUUUUAGAAAUCUACACGAUUAACUGAGGAUAAAAAUGGAAGCAAAUUGCAUUUGAAGUUUAAGCAUAAUUUUCAGGAAUUUCAAGAUGCUAAACAAUAGAAUUAUGGCAUGUUUCAUAUGAAACUGUGAAUUAAAAAGAAAAAAAAGAAAAACUAUCUAAUAGAUGUAACUUAACGGUUUAUAACGGAACUGUUUUGAAAUCUAUCCAAGAUUAAUUCCGUCAUUCAGUAUUGUUAUUAGCUAAAGAAAAUUCCAUUGAGAUGCUCACACACACUUUUACCUGACAAAAUAGUAGCUGCAAUCAGGUUCAUGGAAACAGUCACUAUUGUCAUUAUGUUUCUGCAAAAGAAACAUGUCAUUAAUCAGAAAUGUAGUGUGCAAAUAGGAACAUAGAUUUUUAAUGAGAUUCUUUUGGUUUAGAGGCAGGAAAAGACAGAAUGAGAAUGGUUGAAUAUACAUUAUCUUAAGACCCUUGUCAAUUUUGCCCCUGUUCUUACUAGCCUGUCUUCGUAUUUCAGAAGCUUCAGCAUUGAGUUUCUCAGAUGUUGAGGAGAGGAAACCAGAGGCCUCAUCAUUUUCGUUACUUGCUCCCAGGUUAUCUCUCAUGUUUCUCAUUGCUCCUGUUGUGUUUUGUAUUGUCUCCGAUGCCUCAUUUGCAGUAUUCAUUAUGAUAUGCACCACUUUCUUGGCUUGGGAAUGGAAUCUGGCAUUCCCCCCAAGGAUUACUCCUGAUGCAGUUCUGCAUAAAAAUGAGAUAUUUUCAGCAUUGAAAAUAAGAAAGCAGAAGAAAUUUUAGGAGUAUGUUUGGAACCAAUUAAUACAAUCAUUUGGAAAUAUUAGUUUUGUGAAAUCAUUUACAUUUAGCAUACCCUAAAUAAUCUUGUGAAUGUAGUAACAAAACACAUGAAUUACCUUCUCUUUUAAACAACCAUAAUUGGUUUUCAAAAAUAUAUUAUUUUCAUUUUAGUUUUAUUAAUUUCGAUAGAAUUUAAAGUUAGUUCUAUUUAAGAUUUGUUUGAGAUUAAAUUUUUAUGUGUUUGUGCUUGAACUAACUGUAACUAAAAAUAUUUCCAAAUGAAUUCUACAAAAAUAAUUCAUUUAUUUGAAACAUGUUCUUCAUAUCAUAUGAUAAGCAAGCAUGGUUUCUGAUGUUAACAAAAUAUCUGCAUCAAUAUUAUGGAUAGAUCAUGAAGGUUGCAGACUUACAUUGCCAGAAUUGUGAAGAUUAUGGCAAGAACAAAGGGCCAGAGAUAGCAGUGCUUGUAACAAGGUAAUCUUUUCUUGGGUUUUCUUUUACAGCAAAAGAUAAUUGCUAUCAGAAAGCCACCAUAUACCACUCCACACAAAAGCCACAGCAUCCCACCGACAUACCCAUAUACUCCUGUGAACACAGUGGACUGCACAAAGCACAUGUCAUUUCAUACAUGCAGUAGUUAUACAACUUUUGAAACAUAGGAUGUGGAUAGAGAUAUAUGUUGAUGAUUCGUACAGAAAAAUAUAUGAUUACUUGGUUGAUACCAAAGAACUGUCACUUAUACUGUUUUUACCAUAGGAUUUUGGAAUGAGAUUAGUUGAUCCUGAAAAAAAUAUAAGGUACAAGGCAAAAGUGAAAAAAAAAAUCCCACCUAAAAAUUUUAAAGUCUCUCAAAGUAAUUUAAAUAUGGGCAUUGUCUUGUAAUCUUAACCAUUAUGACUAAUAUGAAAAAUUUCCUAAAAAAGACUUCAUGAAAAUUAAGUAUAGAAUUGACUAUCAAUGGAAUAGGAACUUAAUGAAAUGGGAUUUAAAAGCCAUCAUUGUGUCAUUUAUUUAACUAAGAGAAGAUACUAUUGUGUAGUCUUGGAAUAUGACUGAGGGAGUCUACUAUUGAAAUUUUAUUGGGAUACCUCAAAUGUUUAUGGAAAAAAACCACAGGUAGUUUCCUUGUAGUAAAAAUUGAAUACAAUAUUAUAAAAACUUCAUAAUAUUUUAUAAUAAUUUAAUACUUUUAUGUAAUAAUUAUUUUAAUAUUACAUAGUAAUUUAGUUACUAUAUAAUAGUAACAUUAUAUAAUAUUAGUGAAUUACUAUAAAAUAUUAAUAGAUGUGUCCAGUACAUCAUAUAAAAAACUGUUCUUGGAGCAUGCAAUGAUACUUUGAUUGAGAGAGAGAAAGACAGAGUUAAAACUUACACUCCAGUAAUGUUUGUUGGUAAUGUCAUAACCUCCUCUGUAUUUCUUGAAAUUAUCCAAAGGGUCUAACCUCACAGUAUCAUCUGAUUUCCUCGAUGAUACUUGUGAAACAUUAUUGUCUAUUUGAAGCAAGCUUCUGCCUGCACAAUCUCCCAGGAAAAAAAAGAAGCAAAAACAAAACUUUGGUUAAGAAGGGUGAACUUACAAAUGUAAGCCAUGUUUCUAGCAAGAAAUUUGGGCUUCUUUAAGUAUGUGAGUGUUAGCCAUAGAGAUGCAAGAUGGGUCAAGCAAUAUAACAGCCUGCUCAACACAGCCUGAUUUAGGAUCUGUUUAGCACAAUCCAAAUCAUAGAUUAAUGAACUGCUGGUCCAAGACAAACAAAUACUUUCAAGUUUUGUUUGUUUCAGUCUUAUCAAGGUUUUGAUUUUUUCUAAUUUGUAGUCCGGUCCAGUCUAUAAAAUUAUAAAAAAAUUAUAAAAUAUGUUAAAAAAAUUUAAAAACAUAUAAUAAUUAAAGUAGAGUAAGAAUAUUUAAAAAAUAACAAAUAUAUAUAUCAAUGCUCACCGGGUACACUAAUAUUAGUUGGGACCGUUAAACCAGCACUUUCUUUGAAACUCAAAGCCAAAAUCACCAUCGUGAAGAUUACCGGCGCAACAAGUUGUAUGCCAUAUUUGCUCUCCAUCAAUUUUUAACCUUUCAAACAAGCAAAAUUGAAAUCACUCACUUCGUGAAUUCAGAAGUCAACUCUCUUUUCACUUGCCCAUUAAACUUUUCUUCUUUCAGGAAAAGAACCCAAAAUCUUAAUUAAUUGUUCUAAUGGGUCUGAUUAAUUAUCCGAAACACGCUUGAUCACAAGAGUUGCAGACAUUAACCCACCAAAGAAGUUAAGAACCAACCAGAAAAAACAGCCAAACCAAGUUGAUUGAUUACUAGAUACUUAAAAAUUUGGUUCUGGCGUGUGGAUAUAUAUAUGUUUAUGUACAGAUAUAUGCGUCUGUAUAAUCAGAAUGUUAUAAAAUGAAAAUAAAAAAGAAAGAAGUUAUUGUUUAUGGAGUCCAAGAUUCUUGUUUUUACAUAAAACUGCAAACUGCAAGAAGGAAAUCUCCAGAGUGUAUAAACAAACGCACAAACAAACACGUGCGUGUGUCUGUCUACAUGAAUCCCUGGAAAAAGAAAGAGAAAGAUUAAUGUGAACAGAGAAAGAUUACUUUUUUUUUUAUUUUCAAACUUUUUUGUGAAAGCGGCAGCUUGCUUUUGAUGGCUAAAGGAAUGAUUUCUACUCAAGAAAAGAACAGUUUACGUUUUGGCCGAUGAAAUCUACAGUUCUAAUAAAGUGACAGAAACAAUACAUACACCACUACAUAGCAUUUUAUAGGAAAUAUCAGGAAACUUUGUGAAUUAUUCAAUGCAUAUUGUAAAUAAUAUCAAAUUUAUUUCUCACUGAUGAACAUAUCUACAGAGUGAGAGCUUCAGUUUCAUGAACUCACCCCAUAUAUAUGUCUAUGUGUGAACUUACCCCAUAUAGAUGUCUUUGUAUGCAUAUAUUGUAAAUGGAUGGCUUAUGGGAAUGAUCAUUGAUCCUAAGAAAGAUGAAAAAAGAAAAAAAAAAGAAAAAAAAAAAAGAAAAAGAAAAAAAAAAAGAAAAAGAAAAAGAACUAAAAACUUACAAAUACAAACUGCAGAAUUGUCUGCAACUUGAGUUGAAUAUCAGCCGUUUGCUUUCCGGGGAAAAAACCAAAAUUUCAACAAAAUACCCACAUAUUAAAAACUCUACUAUCUUCAUUACCAACUCUCAUGACAGCCUUUUGGAACUUCUGCUCUCUUAUAUGUGUAAUAUUUAUAUACAUAUGCGCACACAUGUACAUAUGGUGCAUCGUGCAUGUUAAAAGUAGUAUUAUUAUAUAUAUGGGAGCCUUGAAGGGGAAGGAUAUGAUAUGUAUGUGUGUGUUUAUAUAUAUAUAUAUAUAUAUAUAUAUAAGAUCACGCAAACAAAUAAUUUUCUCCUUUGAAGUCUUGAUCAAAGGCUUUUCGAAGGAAGAGCUCAAGUCAAGCAUUUCAACUCUAUAGCCCUCUAUUUUCUUGAUCUUACAUGUACCCUUCAGAUAUCCAGAGUUUUCAACUCCAACAAAACCCAAGUAAAUAAAAACCCCUCCAUUUAUGGGGAAAAGAACAGAUUAGAAUGAAAGAAAUAAUAUAUGUAUUGCCAAUUAAUUACUAUUUAAAUCGUUUUCAAUGCUUAAUUAUUUUUUGCUUUUGAGAAAAAUGCUUAAUUAAUUAAUUAGUUAAUAAAUGAUUAACAAAACCUCGAAACAUUUGCCCAAUUAUUCAAUUUUUAGUCUAUAUACAGAAGAGAGAUUUCAAUCGAGUUGUUAACUUAAUCCACUUCCUCAAACUAGUGAAAGGUUCCUAAUCCUAUUAAUUAAGCUUUGAAGAUAUUAGUAAUUAGAGUCUUUUACUUGCAUUUCUAGUUUUAUACAUUAUUCUUCUUGUUAUCAGCUACAGUUUAUUUGUUUUUUUUUUCAAUUUUAUAUGAAGUAGUAGCUGUUGGGAUGUGCUUUGCGUGCACUAUUUUAUAAAUCAAAUUAAAUUAUAUAUUAAAAUUUAAUUAUCUACAAAUUUUGAACCCAUGAAAAAAUAUGUUUUAAACUUGUGAUUUGCAGUAAAAAUAUUGCUGACCUUCCCAAAAACUGAAGAGUAUUCAUUCAGGUAUUCUAAGAUUUUUUGCUGAAAUUAUUGGAGAAAAUUAGAUUCCG
rnacentral:lncRNA from 1 species